GACGAACGCUGGCGGCGUGCUUAACACAUGCAAGUCGAACGCGCCUGUCCUCUGGGUUUCUGGGGGGUGGGUGAGUGGCGAACGGGUGAGUAACACGUGAGUAACCUGCCCCCUUCUUCGGGAUAACGGUCUGAAAGGGCUGCUAAUACCGGGUAUUCACUGGUCUCCGCAUGGGGUCUGGUGGAAAGGUUUUUUUCUGGUGGGGGAUGGGCUCGCGGCCUAUCAGCUUGUUGGUGGGGUGAUGGCCCACCAAGGCUUUGACGGGUAGCAGGCCUGAGAGGGUGACCGGUCACAUUGGGACUGAGAUACGGCCCAGACUCAUACGGGAGGCAGCAGUGGGGAAUAUUGCACAAUGGGCGCAAGCCUGAUGCAGCGACGCCGCGUGAGGGAUGGAGGCCUUCGGGUUGUGAACCUCUUUCGCCCGUGGUCAAGCCGCGACGUGGGUCGUGGUGAGGGUAGUGGGUAAAGAAGCGCCGGCUAACUACGUG
rnacentral:rRNA from 1 species